rnacentral:lncRNA from 1 species
AUAGAGACCCAUUACGCACUUGCUUGAGCAUAUGGGGUGCACAUAGGGCGUAUCCCAAGGGUGUAGUGGGAUGUUUUGAAUUGCUCUAUUGGAUCUAGAGUGGGUUAGGUGCACCUCAAAAGCGGAUGGGCGCAAUCCUCUUUCGGGUGCUUGCUAGCCCCGUUUUGCUUUCCCUUGGCCUCUCUAACAUCCCUUGAGCCUCCUUGAUCAUCAUAAUCAUCCAAUGG